UGGUACUACAGGGUGUGAAGGUUGUCGCUGACCCUUAGAAAAGGUCGUGCACGCCGGAGCACUCUCACACAAUCCACCUCACCACUUGUGCAUCAUCAUGCGAAGGCCCCUUGCUCUUGGCUUGCUUCGAGAGGGGGGAGGCUUUCGCUUUUUUUAAACACACACACACAAUACAGUCUGGUAGUAUAGAAUGUCAUUGAUUUGCGAUAACACGCAAUUAAUA
rnacentral:misc_RNA from 1 species